rnacentral:lncRNA from 10 species
AGAGCCCUGAAGCUCAAGCGGAGCCCGCUGGCCGCAGGGGCCGCACCACGCCCCAGACCCUGGAGUUUCCGGGUGCGCAGACCCUUGCCAUCAGCAGAGGCUGCCGCUGCGCGUCCCCUAGGCGCGGAAGAGGCGGCUGGUGGUCCCUGACGGCAAGGUUUUAUACAUUACGAAUAAAGCUGGCACGUUUCCAUUUCUCCUGGGCAAAUAUUUAGAAGAAAAGUUGCUGGGUAAUUGAAGCACUGAGACCACAGAGGCAAGAGCUGGGGAAGGAAAACUGCCCAUGAGAUGAGAUGUGCCUCUCAGCUUCCAAAAUCGGGGAGGGUUGCAAAGGGAUGACACCAUCCACACCAGAACUGCAUGAAUGGCAUCAGGAAUGAUCAGAGACCAUAAAUUCCAGUGAGACCAAUAACACCAUUUCUGGUCCUGCAUGCUCUUCCAAACUUUGCCACUAACCCCUUCAAGAGAUGCCCCCCAUGGAAUCCAGCCAUCAUGCUGUGAGGAAUCCAAGCAGCUACAUAGAAAGGCCACAACUAGAUAUUCCAGCUGUAGUCAGCUGAAGCUCCAGCCAACAGCCAACAUCAACCACCACACGUGAAAACGAGCAAGCCUUCAGAUGAUUCCGACUCCCAACCUCCAAGCCACCUCAGCUGAAGCCAAGUAGAGCAGAGACUAGCUGUCCCCCAAUGCUCUAAUAUGCAGAUUCAUAAUUAAAAAGAAUGUUAUUGUUCUAA